CUUUUAACGGAUGGUGUUUGAACAUGUGUCACAGUUUAAUUGACUUCACUUUUUCUUUUUUAGUGUUCCAUAAAAUAAUAUUGAGUCUUAGAAUGGGCAUUUUAGGUUUGAUGGGAAAGGAUACAGGCUUGUUGUAGGGAUCUAAAGAGGAGAGCUUUGUAAUUCACCUGGCCCUCUGCAAUAUUCUUAGACUCCACGGACAUCAGUUCUAAUUUCAGUACCCUGUGUCACUUAGACAAGUUCUUCAAACCGGACUCUCUCAUCUGGAAAACUGGAAUGAAGUCCCCCACCCCAUCUCCUUGAGAAUUAUCAAAAGGCAGUUUAGGACCGAGGAACCAAAUGAAGAACAGACAUCAACGUUAUUGACAGCAUCUCUACCUUCUUCAACAGAUGUUUGUGGAUGCAAAGAUUCAUGGAGGAUACAAAGCUCCGCGCUGCUGGGCCGUUUAUCUCUGCCACCACAACAGCCCGGCCGCAAACAGGCGAGCCGUUCUCUGCCCGGCUCCUGGGCUCCCGCCGGGAGGGCACAAUUAAGACAGACCCUUGCCUUCUUGGCUGCCAAAGCAUCUCAGCUUCUGAAGAGCAUGGGAAGCAACGCCAUCAACCCCCCUGAGGAAAUAAAUAAAUAAAUAAAUAAAUAAAUAAAUAA
rnacentral:lncRNA from 12 species